UACGUAGGGGGCAAGCGUUGUCCGGAAUCAUUGGGCGUAAAGGGCGCGUAGGCGGUCGUGACAAGUCACUUGUGAAAUCUCCGGGCUUAACUCGGAACGGUCAAGUGAUACUGUCGGACUAGAGUACAGAAGGGGCAACUGGAAUUCUCGGGUGUAGCGGUGAAAUGCGUAGAUAUCGAGAGGAACACCUGCGGCGAAGGCGGGUUGCUGGGCUGAUACUGACGCUGAGGCGCGAAAGCCAGGGGAGCGAACGGG
rnacentral:rRNA from 1 species